GUGAAAUUAUAGGUGACUAUGAAUUUUUUAUCUUUUACUAUAUCUAAAAGUUUUCAACAGGGAUCACGGACUGUUAAUGUUAAGGAAAGCAGAAAGGAGUACGUCUUCCUCGUGUGGAGAGGGCGCUCUAUCCUUUAGCUCCCUACCCAUGUGUGAGAGGAGCUCACUCUCUUGGUGGCCAUCUUUAAAGAUCAUAGGUGAGAUGAGAACCCGAGAGGAGGAAGAGGAGAGGCUGCAUGGAGUGCUCAGUCCCUGACACCUACAAGCGGAGCUCUGGAACUCAUGUUUUCCAACUCAGGAGGAGAAAGGGGGAAUUGGGCAAAAAUUCACAAACCUGUGCGAGGUGGAAGUUGUUCCUCCAGGUCCUGGGGGUGGCUGCAAAUACAGUGGGGUCUGCAGAGGAAAACUUCAAAGCUGUGACAAGGAGGACAGCAAGGCCAGAUGCAGGGAGCACCUUCAUCUCCUCUUGGUAGCUUGUUCACCCCAUUGGCCCAGUGCAAAGGCAGACAAGGAGCAGAGUGUUGGAGUGAGAAGAAUGAUGCAACAAAGUCAUGGGUGUGAGAGUCUGUUGACUGAGCUAGGGUCAUGUGCCCUUGUCUUCAUCUCCAGACAGAAGCAGCAAGUGGAUCUCCCCUCAGCCUGGUCUCCACAUGAGGAGGCAGGACACCCUCCAUGGAAACCAUCAAUAAUGGGGAACAUUUUCCAGAGAAGAAUACAUCCAAACCAAACCCAGUAAAUGUUCAGUAACCUUCUGAAACUUCUGUCUUCUGCUGUGUAGAAAGAAGGAUAAUGGAAUUUAUAUUAGAAGGAGUCAGAGGGGAUUAAAAUGGCAAAUGUACAUUUACUGCUGAGCCUGGCUCAUAAAUGGAAGAUUUGAGAAUUGUUUUUCCUAUAAUUUACAAACUUUCCAAAAAAAUACUGUGAUGAAUUAAUAAAAAAUUAACAUUUGACAUUUUCUUACUUCUAAGACUCAUGUGGUGAUUGAAUUGACUGUUGAUUAAAUAAUCCCUGUGGAAAAAACCA
rnacentral:lncRNA from 1 species